AGCACUAGUUAAAUUUGAACUUUAGAUAAAGAAGGAAAAAUUUCUUAGUGUGAGUAUAUCCUAUGCAAUACUUGGAAUAUACUUAUGCUAAAAAAGUAUUCCUUGGUUAUCUGAAAUUCAAAUUUCACUGGAAAUUCUGUA
ensembl:miRNA